UCAGAGGGCUUCAGUGCUUUACUGCCACUGAGAAGAACCUUAAAGAUGAUUUCUCUUACUGUAAUCCUACUAGCUAUGGGACUCAUAGCACAAGAGUCAUCAGCUGAUAUAAUUCUGACUCAGCCUCCCUCAUCAAAGUCUGUUCAGGCUGGAGAAACUGUCUCUAUCAGCUGCACAGCCAGUCAGAGUGUUAGCAACGCUCUGAACUGGUACUCCCAGAAACCUGGAGAAGCUCCUAAACUCCUGAUCUACAGUACAUCAGCUCGUCAGUCGGGUGUUCCAGAUCGUUUCAGUGGGAGUGGGUCUACUUAUACACAGUACACUCUGACCAUCAGCAGAGUCCAGCCUGAAGAUGCUGCAGAUUAUUAUUGUCAGCAGGGUGCUGCAUAUCCAUUCACACAGUGUUAG